rnacentral:rRNA from 1 species
UGGGGAAUAUUGGACAAUGGGGGAGACCCUGAUCCAGCCAUGCCGCGUGAGUGAUGACGGCCUUCGGGUUGUAAAGCUCUUUUACAUGGGAAGAUAAUGACGGUACCAUGAGAAUAAGCACCGGCUAACUUCGUGCCAGCAGCCGCGGUAAUACGAAGGGUGCAAGCGUUGUUCGGAAUUACUGGGUGUAAAGGGCGUGUAGGCUGAUUAGUUAGUUAGUGGUGAAAUCCUUGGGCUUAACCUGAGAACUGCCAUUAAUACAGCUAGUCUAGAGUAUCAGAGAGGAUAACGGAAUAUCCAGUGUAGAGGUGAAAUUCGUAGAUAUUGGAUAGAACACCGGUGGCGAAGGCGGUUAUCUGGCUGAUUACUGACGCUGAGGCGCGAGAGCGUGGGGAGCAAACA